AUUGAACGCUGGCGGCAGGCCUAACACAUGCAAGUCGAGCGGAUGAAGGGAGCUUGCUCCUGGAUUCAGCGGCGGACGGGUGAGUAAUGCCUAGGAAUCUGCCUGGUAGUGGGGGAUAACGUCCAGAAACGGGCGCUAAUACCGCAUACGUCCUGAGGGAGAAAGUGGGGGAUCUUCGGACCUCACGCUAUCAGAUGAGCCUAGGUCGGAUUAGCUAGUUGGUGGGGUAAAGGCCUACCAAGGCGACGAUCCGUAACUGGUCUGAGAGGAUGAUCAGUCACACUGGAACUGAGACACGGUCCAGACUCCUACGGGAGGCAGCAGUGGGGAAUAUUGGACAAAGGGCGAAAGCCUGAUCCAGCCAUGCCGCGUGUGUGAAGAAGGUCUUCGGAUUGUAAAGCACUUUAAGUUGGGAGGAAGGGCAGUAAGUUAAUACCUUGCUGUUUUGACGUUACCAACAGAAUAAGCACCGGCUAACUUCGUG
rnacentral:rRNA from 1 species